GUGGCGGACGGGUGAGUAACGCGUGGGAAUCUGCCCUCAGGAGGGGGAUAACGGCCGGAAACGGCCGCUAAUACCCCAUAUGCCGAGAGGUGAAAUGAGUUUCGCCUGAGGAUGAGCCCGCGUCUGAUUAGCUAGUUGGUGUGGUAAUGGCGCACCAAGGCUUCGAUCAGUAGCUGGUCUGAGAGGAUGAUCAGCCACACUGGGACUGAGACACGGCCCAGACUCCUACGGGAGGCAGCAGUGGGGAAUUUUCCGCAAUGGGCGCAAGCCUGACGGAGCAACGCCGCGUGAGGGACGAAGGCCUCUGGGCUGUAAACCUCUUUUCUCAAGGAAGAAGACAUGACGGUACUUGAGGAAUAAGCCACGGCUAAUUCCGUGCCAGCAGCCGCGGUAAUACGGGAGUGGCAAGCGUUAUCCGGAAUUAUUGGGCGUAAAGCGUCCGCAGGCGGCCCAGCAAGUCUGUUGUUAAAAAGUGGAGCUUAACUCCAUCCAGGCAAUGGAAACUGCUGGGCUAGAGUGUGGUAGGGGCAGAGGGAAUUCCCGGUGUAGCGGUGAAAUGCGUAGAUAUCGGGAAGAACACCAGUGGCGAAGGCGCUCUGCUGGGCCAUAACUGACGCUCAUGGACGAAAGCCAGGGGAGCGAAAGGGAUUAGAUACCCCUGUAGUCCUGGCCGUAAACGAUGAACACUAGGUGUCGGGGGAAUCGACCCCCUCGGUGUCGUAGCCAACGCGUUAAGUGUUCCGCCUGGGGAGUACGCACGCAAGUGUGAAACUCAAAGGAAUUGACGGGGGCCCGCACAAGCGGUGGAGUAUGUGGUUUAAUUCGAUGCAACGCGAAGAACCUUACCAGGGUUUGACAUCCUGCGAAUCCCUUGGAAACUUGGGAGUGCCUUCGGGAGCGCAGUGACAGGUGGUGCAUGGCUGUCGUCAGCUCGUGUCGUGAGAUGUUGGGUUAAGUCCCGCAACGAGCGCAACCCACGUCUUUAGUUGCCAGCAUUUAGUUGGGCACUCUAGAGAGACCGCCGGUGAUAAACCGGAGGAAGGUGUGGAUGACGUCAAGUCAUCAUGCCCCUUACAUCCUGGGCUACACACGUACUACAAUGCUACGGACAAAGGGCAGCAAACUCGCGAGAGCUAGCAAAUCCCAUAAACCGUGGCUCAGUUCAGAUCGUAGGCUGCAACUCGCCUACGUGAAGGAGGAAUCGCUAGUAAUCGCAGGUCAGCAUACUGCGGUGAAUACGUUCCCGGGCCUUGUACACACCGCCCGUCACACCAUGGAAGUUGGCCAUGCCCGAAGUCGUUACUCCAACCCGUAAGGGAGGAGGACGCCGAAGGUGGGGCUGAUGACUGGGGUGAAGUCGUAACAA
rnacentral:rRNA from 1 species